rnacentral:rRNA from 1 species
GAUGAACGCUGGCGGCGUGCCUAAUACAUGCAAGUCGAGCGAACGGACGAGAAGCUUGCUUCUCUGAUGUUAGCGGCGGACGGGUGAGUAACACGUGGAUAACCUACCUAUAAGACUGGGAUAACUUCGGGAAACCGGAGCUAAUACCGGAUAAUAUUUUGAACCGCAUGGUUCAAAAGUGAAAGACGGUCUUGCUGUCACUUAUAGAUGGAUCCGCGCUGCAUUAGCUAGUUGGUAAGGUAACGGCUUACCAAGGCAACGAUGCAUAGCCGACCUGAGAGGGUGAUCGGCCACACUGGAACUGAGACACGGUCCAGACUCCUACGGGAGGCAGCAGUAGGGAAUCUUCCGCAAUGGGCGAAAGCCUGACGGAGCAACGCCGCGUGAGUGAUGAAGGUCUUCGGAUCGUAAAACUCUGUUAUUAGGGAAGAACAUAUGUGUAAGUAACUGUGCACAUCUUGACGGUACCUAAUCAGAAAGCCACGGCUAACUACGUGCCAGCAGCCGCGGUAAUACGUAGGUGGCAAGCGUUAUCCGGAAUUAUUGGGCGUAAAGCGCGCGUAGGCGGUUUUUUAAGUCUGAUGUGAAAGCCCACGGCUCAACCGUGGAGGGUCAUUGGAAACUGGAAAACUUGAGUGCAGAAGAGGAAAGUGGAAUUCCAUGUGUAGCGGUGAAAUGCGCAGAGAUAUGGAGGAACACCAGUGGCGAAGGCGACUUUCUGGUCUGUAACUGACGCUGAUGUGCGAAAGCGUGGGGAUCAAACAGGAUUAGAUACCCUGGUAGUCCACGCCGUAAACGAUGAGUGCUAAGUGUUAGGGGGUUUCCGCCCCUUAGUGCUGUAGCUAACGCAUUAAGCACUCCGCCUGGGGAGUACAACCGCAAGGUUGAAACUCAAAGGAAUUGACGGGGACCCGCACAAGCGGUGGAGCAUGUGGUUUAAUUCGAAGCAACGCGAAGAACCUUACCAAAUCUUGACAUCCUUUGACAACUCUAGAGAUAGAGCCUUCCCCUUCGGGGGACAAAGUGACAGGUGGUGCAUGGUUGUCGUCAGCUCGUGUCGUGAGAUGUUGGGUUAAGUCCCGCAACGAGCGCAACCCUUAAGCUUAGUUGCCAUCAUUAAGUUGGGCACUCUAAGUUGACUGCCGGUGACAAACCGGAGGAAGGUGGGGAUGACGUCAAAUCAUCAUGCCCCUUAUGAUUUGGGCUACACACGUGCUACAAUGGACAAUACAAAGGGCAGCGAAACCGCGAGGUCAAGCAAAUCCCAUAAAGUUGUUCUCAGUUCGGAUUGUAGUCUGCAACUCGACUACAUGAAGCUGGAAUCGCUAGUAAUCGUAGAUCAGCAUGCUACGGUGAAUACGUUCCCGGGUCU